AUUCUGGUUGAUCCUGCCAGUAGUUAUAUGCUUGUCUCAAAGAUUAAGCCAUGCAUGUCUAAGUACACACGAAUUAAAAGUGAAACCGCAAAAGGCUCAUUAUAUCAGUUAUGGUUCCUUAGAUCGUUAACAGUUACUUGGAUAACUGUGGUAAUUCUAGAGCUAAUACAUGCAAUUAAAACAUGAACCUUAUGGGACAUGUGCUUUUAUUAGGCUAAAACCAAGCGAUCGCAAGAUCGUUAUAUUGGUUGAACUCUAGAUAACAUGCAGAUCGUAUGGUCUUGU
rnacentral:ncRNA from 1 species